AUGAAAACAUCAAUUGGAAAUUGAGUUUGAAUAGAACACAUAUAUUAUAAUCCAUAUUACUGUUGUUGCUGAAAUAAAGCAAGAUUGAUAAGAAGAAUGCCGAAAUAUUGUGUAUUUGCGGGAGUUGAAGCCUUUUAUAAAAUCCAUAAUCUAUAUUGGUGGCUUAGGAAUCUUUAUUAAUUACUAAAUUGUUUUGUACAAUUUUUUUUUUUGUAUAACUUUUAUUUAAUUUUUAAUGUAAAUUUUUAAAUAUACUUAUUGUAUAAUAUUUGAAUAAAACACGAGGAACUGCAAUUGAUGUGA